UAUGUGUCUUCCAUGGUUGUAACGGGAAACGGAGAAUAAGGCAGCAGGCGCGUAAAUUACCCACUCUCAAUUCGAGGAGGUAGUGACUAUCAAUAACGAGACAGAUCUCUUUGAGGUCUGUCAUUGCAAUGAGCACAACUUAAAGACUUUAACGACGUCUAUGGGAGGGCAAGUCUGGUGCCAGCAGCCGCGGUAAUUCCAGCUCCCAACGUGUAUAUCGUCAUUGCUGCGGUUAAAAAGCUCGUAGUUGGAUCUUAGCUCAUGUCGGUAGUUCUCCAUGUGAGAUACUGCUCGGCUGAGCUGUUUCGCCGGUUUUCCUUAGUUUCGGCUGCGGUGACUGGUGUUGUAACUUUGAUUAAAUCAAUGUGAUUAAAACAGGCGUUUGCUUGAAUGCUUUAUCAUGGAAUAAUAGAAUAUGACUUCGGUCCAUUCUGUCGGUCUUGGGAUCGAAGUAAUGAUUAAAAGGAACAACUCGGGAGCAUCCGUAUCGCUGCGUGAGAGGUGAAAUUCUUGGACCGCAGCGAGACGACCUAUUGCGAAAGCAUUUUCCAAGAAUGUUUUCAUUAAUCAAGAACGAAAGCCAGAGGAUCCAAGGCGAUUAGAUACCGCCCUUGUUCUGACCGUAAACUAUGCCAACUAGCGAUCAGGUGGUGGUAGUUUAGCCCUGCCUGGGAGCUUCUCGGAAACGAAAGUCUUCGGGUUCCGGGGGUAGUAUGGUUGCAAAUCUGAAACUUAAAGGAAUUGACGGAAGGGCACCACCAGGAGUGGAGCCUGCGGCUUAAUUUGACUCAACACGGGAAAUCUCACCCGGACCGGACACUAUAAUGAUUGACAGAUUGAUAGUUCUUUCUUGAUUUGGUGGUUGGUGGUGCAUGGUCGUUCUUAGUUCGUGGAUUGAACUGUCUGGUUUAUUCCGAUAACGAACGAGACUCUAACCUGCUAACUAGUGAUGCGUUAAUUGAGACGUACCUACUUCUUACAGGGAUAAGCGGUGUUCAACCGCAUGAGAUUGAGUAAUAACAGGUCUGUGAUGCCCUUAGAUGUUCGGGGCUGCACGCGCGCUACACUGGAAAGUGCAGCAAGCGUUAUUAACCUUGGCCGAAAGGUCUGGGUAAUCUUUUGAAAGCUAUUCGUGUUUAGAAUAGAGGAUUGAAAUUAUUUCUCUUGAACGAGGAAUUUCCAGUAAGUAUGAGUCAUUAGCUCAUGCUGAUUACGUCCCUGCCCUUUGUACACACCGCCCGUCGCUGCCCGGGACUGAGUUGCCUCGAGUAAUGCGGGGACUUUCGGAGUUGGGUUUCCCUUCUCUGAUGGGAACCGCAUUAAUCGCAGUGGCUUGAACCGGGCAAAAGUCGUAAGAAGGUGCGAUUAGGAGAACCUGCAAGCGGAUCAUUGUCGAUCAAUCUAUUACGUACUUGUAAUUUGAUUGGAAUUGAAUGGCUAUGAAUGAAUGGUUAUGAAUACGGAACGUUCGGUUGCUGUGUAGCGUCUGCUGGGGUGUGCUCUUCCGUGCACGCAUGGCGGUUACGUUAGGCGACUGCGGGUAGUUUGGCCUGCGGUCGCUCAGCAUUAAAGAUCAGUGGGAGUUGCUGGCUCAGGACACUCUUGCAUUGGACAUCGAAAUAUUACCUAGUCUUGUGACUUCGGUCGCUUGGCGAAAUUGUACAACUCUACGUGGUGGAUCACUAAAGUCUCGGGAUUGCCCGUUAACCUUGGGCAAGACAUCGCCCAUCGUCAACUACUUUCCGCGCUGAUAGAAUCAGGAAGAGGAACCAGCUGGAAUUCGUCAUCCUCUGAAUGUUUAAUCCUCGAAAAGGUUGGAGCUAAGACGCACUACGUGCCUAUCUGAAUGAUGUUGAAUGACUUCAUCUAUUUCCCCGCGGACAUGUCCGACCUGCGAUUGCUCCGCAUGCCUCCGCCGAAGUUCGCCUACUUUCAGUUCUCCCUCGGAUAUCUGUCAUAUUCUCUCCAUACUUGCAUUCGGUUCGAGUGUCUGUGAUUGCCCUUCAUGUCGAGAUCGCCUG
rfam:Pristionchus pacificus strain PS312 contig614, whole genome shotgun sequence.